rnacentral:rRNA from 1 species
AGGCUGAAAUUCGCCUUCAUGAAGCCGGAAUUGCUAGUAAUGGCAGGUCAGCAUACUGCCGUGAAUACGUUCCCGGGCCUUGUACACACCGCCCGUCACACCAUGAGAGUUGGGAAUACCCGAAGCCUGUGAGCUAACUGUAAAGAGGCAGCAGUCGAAGGUAGAAUCAAUGAUUGGGGUGAAGUCGUAACAAGGUACC